rnacentral:rRNA from 1 species
UACGUAGGGUGCAAGCGUUAAUCGGAAUUACUGGGCGUAAAGCGUGCGCAGGCGGUUAUGUAAGACAGUUGUGAAAUCCCCGGGCUCAACCUGGGAACUGCAUCUGUGACUGCAUAGCUAGAGUACGGUAGAGGGGGAUGGAAUUCCGCGUGUGGCGGUGAAAUGCGUAGAUAUGCGGAGGAACACCGAUGGCGAAGGCAAUCCCCUGGGCCUGCACUGACGCUCAUGCACGAAAGCGUGGGGAGCGAACAGG